AUGGCCCUGAAUCAAGGCUGAUAGUUUUCUGAAGUUGUUGGUUUCAAGCAGGCACUAAAGCUGUGUCAUUCCAUGUUGUGUCAGCUAUUUCAGAACUUUAGAAAUGUAAUGGUCAGUUUGUUAGAAAGAAACAACU
ensembl:snoRNA small nucleolar RNA SNORA2/SNORA34 family